UACGUAGGGAGCGAGCGUUGUCCGAAGUUACUGGGCGUGAAGCGCGCGUAGGCGGGCUGUUAAGUGAGAGGUGAAAGGCUGGGGCUUAACCCCAUGCAGUGCCUCCCAUACUGGCGGUCUUGAGUGCGGCAGGGAGAAGUGGAAUGGCUGGUGUAGCGGUGAAAUGCGUAGAUAUCAGUCGGAACACCGGUGGCGAAGGCGGCUUCUUGGGCCUGGACUGACGCUGAGGAGCGAAAGCGUGGGGAGCGAACAGG
rnacentral:rRNA from 1 species